rnacentral:rRNA from 1 species
CCUACGGGUGGCAGCAGUAGGGAAUCUUUCACAAUGGGCGAAAGCCUGAUGGAGCAACGCCGCGUGCAGGAUGAAGGCCUUCGGGUUGUAAACUGCUUUUAUAAGCGAGAAAUAUGAUGGUAACUUAUGAAUAAGGAUCGGCUAACUACGUGCCAGCAGCCGCGGUAAUACGUAGGGGGCAAGCGUUAUCCGGAUUUAUUGGGUGUAAAGGGAGCGUAGACGGCAGCGCAAGUCUGGAGUGAAAUGCCGGGGCCCAACCCCGGAACUGCUCUGGAAACUGUGAAGCUGGAGUGCAGGAGAGGUAAGCGGAAUUCCUGGUGUAGCGGUGAAAUGCGUAGAUAUUAGGAGGAACACCAGUGGCGAAGGCGGCUUACUGGACUGUAACUGACGUUGAGGCUCGAAGGCGUGGGGAGCAAACAGGAUUAGAUACCCGGGUAGUC